rnacentral:rRNA from 1 species
AUAUCAAUAAGCGGAGGAAAAGAAACUAAAAAGGAUUCCCUUAGUAACAGCGAGUGAACCAAGAAGAGCUCAUCCCUGAAAUCCCCUUUGGUUUCCAAAGGGGAGUUGUGGGGUAUGGAAGCGUUGUCAGCGAGUGGCCCCGGUCAAAGUGCACUGGAAGGUGCCGGCGGAGGAGGGUGAGACCCCCGUUUCGGGCUGGGAGUCCGCCGCGUACGACACGUUUUCCGAGAGUCGGGUUGCUUUGUAGUGCAGCCUUAAUCGGGUGGUAAAUUCCAUCCAAAGCUAAAUACCUGUUGGAGACCGAUAGCGCACAAGUA